UACGUAGGUCCCGAGCGUUGUCCGGAUUUAUUGGGCGUAAAGCGAGCGCAGGCGGUUUGAUAAGUCUGAAGUUAAAGGCUGUGGCUCAACCAUAGUUCGCUUUGGAAACUGUCAAACUUGAGUGCAGAAGGGGAGAGUGGAAUUCCAUGUGUAGCGGUGAAAUGCGAAGAUAUAUGGAGGAACACCGGUGGCGAAAGCGGCUCUCUGGUCUGUAACUGACGCUGAGGCUCGAAAGCGUGGGGAGCGAACAGG
rnacentral:rRNA from 1 species